GACGAACCGUGCGAACGUUGUUCGGAAUCACUGGGCUUAAAGGGCGCGUAGGCGGCGCGGUAAGUCGGGUGUGAAAUCUCGGGGCUUAACUCCGAAACUGCAUUCGAUACUGCCGUGCUUGAGGACUGGAGAGGAGAAUAGAAUUCCCGGUGUAGUGGUGAUAUGCGUAGAUAUCGGGAGGAAUACCAGUGGCGAAGGCGGUUCUCUGGGCCUUACCUGACGCUGAGACGCGAAAGCGUGGGGAGCGAACCGG
rnacentral:rRNA from 1 species